AACGCCUGUUGCCAGUGGGACAUGUUUCCAUCUGCAUUGCUCGAAGGGGGCGCAGGAUAACUAACCUGCGCACCCCAGCUCUCUAGAUUUUGAAGCUUCGGAACGUAACAAAAUUGUUCUUGGAGAAUUUCGGGUAUGCCUACUGCUUCGAUGGAUGCAUCUCCGGGUACAUUUAUGAGGACUCUUGAUCCACUAUGUAUAGCUGAGAUUGAAGAAUGCGACUUCUCGAGGCUGGCGGAUAAGCCCAGGAUUCUGACCAUAGAACGGCAAAGAUCAUUCGAUGGGUCCCUCAGUGAGCUGUCCAUUCCUUUAUCGCCUCGCCAUUCUUCUAGGAAUGCUGAGCACUACCGGAUUGUGGACCAUCUUGAGAACAUAUUUUCUCCUGGUAGAAGGUCAAAUGUGAGCACACCUAUUUCUCAACAUUGCUUUGAACCUCAUCCCAUGGUUGCUGAAGCAUGGGAAGCUAUCAGGCAUUCAUUGGUGUACUUCCGUGGCCAGCCAGUUGGAACGAUUGCUGCACUGGACCAUUCUGAAGAAGCCCUUAACUAUAAUCAGGUGUUUGUACGAGACUUCGUCCCAAGUGCCUUGGCAUUUUUGAUGAAUGGAGAGCCAGAAAUAGUUAAGAAUUUUCUUCUGAAAACCCUUCGCCUUCAAUCAGGGGAGAAAAAGAUCGACCGCUUCAAACUAGGAGAAGGAGUCAUGCCCGCUAGUUUUAAAGUCUUCCAUGAUCCUAUUCGGAAUUAUGAAACUUUAAUUGCGGAUUUCGGAGAGACUGCGAUAGGAAGAGUUGCUCCUGUUGAUUCUGGGUUUUGGUGGAUUAUCUUGCUUCGUGCAUAUACGAAAUCUACAGGAGACUCUUCCUUAGCAGAAAUGCCUGAAUGCCAAAAGGGUAUGCGCCUUAUAUUGGCAUUAUGUCUGUCAGAGGGGUUUGAUACAUUCCCCACCUUGCUUUGUGCGGAUGGGUGCUCUAUGAUUGACCGAAGAAUGGGCGUUUAUGGGUAUCCUAUUGAAAUACAAGCACUUUUUUUCAUGGCUCUAAGAUGUGCAUUGCUUUUGCUAAAGCAGGAUGACGAGGGGAAGGAGUUUGUAGAGCGCAUAACUAAACGGCUCCACGCCUUGAGCUAUCACAUGCGAAAUUAUUUUUGGCUUGAUUUUCAGCAGCUUAAUGAUAUUUAUAGGUAUAAGACAGAGGAAUACUCUCAUACUGCAGUCAACAAAUUCAAUGUGAUUCCCGAUUCUCUUCCCUAUUGGGUAUUUGAUUUUAUGCCGACUCGUGGUGGUUACUUUAUCGGAAAUGUUAGUCCUGCAAGGAUGGAUGUCCGUUGGUUCUGCUUGGGUAAUUGUAUUGCUAUUUUAUCAUCUAUGGCGACCCCUGAGCAAUCUGCAGCCAUUAUGGAUCUUAUUGAAGCACGUUGGCAAGAGUUGGUUGGCGAAAUGCCUCUAAAGGUUUGUUAUCCGGCCAUAGAAGGUCAUGAGUGGCAGAUCGAAACAGGCUGUGACCCAAAAAAUACUAGGUGGAGCUACCACAAUGGCGGAUCUUGGCCCGUGCUCCUUUGGCUUCUUACUGCUGCAUGCAUCAAGACGGGACGCCCACAAAUUGCAAGGCGUGCCAUUGAACUCGCUGAAACCCGGUUGUUGAAAGAUAGCUGGCCAGAAUACUAUGAUGGAAAGCUUGGGCGGUUCGUUGGGAAGCAGGCCCGGAAGUUCCAAACAUGGUCCAUUGCAGGCUACUUGGUUGCAAAGAUGAUGCUUGAAGAUCCAUCUCAUUUGGGAAUGAUAUCGCUCGAGGAGGACAAACAGAUGAAGCCACUCAUGAAGAGAUCGGCAUCGUGGACAUGCUGAUACAUCCGGGAUUUCAAAUCUAUUGGGUGUCAAUGAGCUGGGCCGGCCAGGAGCUCAAGCCCGUGAUGAUCUUUGAUUGCCAAGCCCUAAGCCUAAGAUUUAAAGAUGAAAUUCAUGGCUUGUUGCCGAGAAGAGAGCCAUCGUGCAUGUGGCUCGAUUGGAGUGCAACCCUUAACAGGCAAUUGGCGCGAAUUGCUGUAGCAUUUCUUGGAAAAGAUAUAAAUGAUCAGAGGCUUGAAAUUGUUCAAUUUUUAUUUUUAUUUUUCCUGGUUAUUCUCCAUCCACAGCCAAUUCUAUCAUAUAAAUGGUAUAGAUCAUUGAAAGAUGACCUGUAUCGAAGAAGUGUCUUUAUAUCACACAGGUAUGGUGAAUGGGAUUAGCAGGCAAGCGUCUUUAGAAUGUCCA